CGGUGGAGACAGGAUGUCCCAGGUUCGCAGGGACGGCAGUCGCCCAACCCACAACCGGCCCCACCCUCCCGGGAGGGAGCGCUAGUCCUCCCCAAGUUCCAUCCCCACCCCCAGCUUCCCAGGGCUGAAACCCCGGGAACUGCCGGGCCAGGGAAGGGCGGGACUGACUCGUGCCGUACCUGUCCGCGGGAUUUCCCGAGCCCUGCCCGGCCGCCCCGGGAGCGGAGUGGCGAGCCGGACUCCGAGUCGACCCGACCCCGGGGCAGCACCGGAGCGGACCGGGCAGCAGUGGGCGCUCGCGAUCCUCCUCGGCCCGACACGCUCUCCCUUCGGGCCCGGCCUCCUCUGUCCCCUCCUCCCGCUCCCGCUCCUCCCUCUGCUCCUCCCCUCGGCGGCGGUGAUAACCUCGCCUCCCCGCCUGCAAAGUCCCCGGCGCGAGGGCAGCCGCGAACCGCCGCCACCACUGGGUCUCCGCGGGCGCCUGCGCCGGUGUCUCGCCCUCCGGCCCGGGUCGUCCUGGAAAAACUCGCUCCGCUGGCCGCCGGGGCUCCACGGCGCUGCCCAUGGCCAAGCCCAGGAGCCGACUUCGGGCGCCGGACCGGCUGGACAGCCGAGGCGCGGCUCAGUAAUCAGAAGCCUGCAAUACCCAUGUGUCACUGAUCUGGAGACGACCCCCCGCGGGCAGCACUUCAUGACCCAGCGGCGCCCGGCCCAGUG
rnacentral:lncRNA from 1 species